rnacentral:pre_miRNA from 1 species
UGUUAAAAAAUUCAUCUAUUUUUGCUAUUCAAAACUGAUGUACUUGAUGGAAUAACCUGACAGUUACAUGUAACAUGCCACGUACACCUCUUGUUAGCAUUAAGGGGCUAAUUUUUUAACAAAAAAAUGGAUGAUAUUUUUAACA